AGCGGUAGCUCCUCAUUUUAUGAACACACCUUUCUCUUUCAUGCUCAAAUGUUAUUUGACAUCCCUGUGAGACUACAGGCACGCAUGCUGUACCACACGUGCUUGGGUUGUUGCUGGGUCAGAUCUCAAGGGAUGCAUGUCCUCUGGUUCAUACUAACUUGGAACAUCUGAAUGCAUGUAUAUUCUUGGAAACCUGUUUUACCACAAACAUUUGAACCUGAAAUGCCAGAUUCAUAACCCAACAAACUGAUUUGUUGUCGACUACUGUGCUCACACUGGUUCAGAUGCUGUGCUUCUCCUGUGAGAAACCUGUGCAAGUUUCCAGAGUGUAAGAGAUUACUGCUGCUCAGGGAGCAACAUCACAGACACAGUAGAGAUAAGUGGAUUUGUGCCUUAAUGAUUCCCUUUACUCCAUACUCUUCUCCUUUAAGCAAAUGAAAUCUGUAUAAGAAAUGACUCUAUGUAAAGUUAAAGUGGGGGAAGAAAGGGUUGAAAUAAUAUUCAGAAAGCCAUUCUAAGCUAGGUGCGAGCCUGGAAGUGAUGUCACUAAAUAAUAUGUAAAUUCUCUGAAUUUUUUCAUCCUUUCCAAAAGAACUCUUUUCCCCAGAAAAUUCCCUUCAUUGCUUGCUUUAGUUAGGUUUACAGUGAAUGUUUGUGUCAUAAGUCAUACUCUGUUGACCAAAGGAACGGUUGCUAUUGACUGCAGUCAGAAGAGAUUGAAACUUUGGUUCCUUUUGAAAGAAAAGGAAUUGUUACUGUGCAGCAAAGCUGAUCAGCUGGGUGAAAGGGACAUUUUCUACAACUGACAGGAGGCAACCAGAGGUGAAUGUCAGGGAGCCUGAAUCUGGGGAGCAGGGCAGCCACCAAGUCUUGACAUCUCAGCAUCUGCUCCUAUUUGGUAGACUCCUGUAUUUACUGCUGCAGCACUGACUUUGCUUGUUAGGACUACAACUGCUGGUUCAGGGGUCUGCAACACCAGCAUGUUGGAAGAGGUAGGACUGUUUACAGACUUAGUAUUAGGUGUACAUUUAAACAAUUCACUAAUUCAAGCUUCUCAUCCCAGUUUUCUUCCUGAGAAAAAAUACUACUUUUGUCUAUAGCAUGCAAUCAGAUCUGCAUUUAAUCUCACAUUGGCUGAUGUGUACUACCCCCCAGCAUGUAAAGGAAAUGCUUACAUACAAAUAACUACCUUUAUUUUAGGGAUGUGACUUGCUUCACUAAUUCCCCAGGAUAUUUAUUUAUAAAAAAUUACUUUCAGAGCCUUUUAGUGCAUUGACCUUGUUUCAGGGUUUAGAUGGGAAGAGGGAGGGCUGGAGUUUUUUCUUAAACGCUGCAGGGGAUUUCUGUCAGGUUGCUUUAACACUUCAUCUCAGAUUCUUGCCAGGCUUUUGGGCUAAAGAAUUUUCAAAUGCAGCUAGCCGUCAUCACAUAGCUCUUGCGUUUGUACAGCAGUAUCUGCAGAAGCCUAUCAAAUAUGGGCUAAUGCUGAGAUGUCAAGGCCUUGGUGGCUGCUCUUUGUUUUAUAAAUAUAAAAUUGAUUUGGCUUUCAUGCGAUGAGAAAGCAAGAGGACUUAAGAAUAGAGGCACCAGAUAAGCAUCAUAAAUGCGUACAUCACUUUUAGUGUAUCAGGUGUGGAUGUUGUAGUGACCACUCUAUGGACUGAGUCUGUGCAUUAUAGCAGUUUCCUAUGCAAAGAUGCGGAAUGUUGUUAUUCCCCUAAAGAGCAGGAGAGCAGAGAAAGGGAUGUGCUGUGCUGCUGAAUUUUCCUUUCAAAAACCUAAGGGUUUCAUAGCAAUAGGUCACCACAUUUAGAAUCACUAAAACACUCAUGCUGUAAAAACACAGAACUCGUAGUCUUCUUUACCCCACUGAGGGUUAGCACUGCAAGGGCUGUUAACGAUUCCUUUUGCUUUCUCUUACUGAGUGUUUUCACAUAUAUAUCUACAGAAAAUGAAACAUGAUAUAACAUGCAUGGAAAAUACAAGCAUGUACUACCCAAACCUCAUUCUCCAACUAAAGUAUCUAUUGUUUAAUAACAGAAGGUGCGUAGGGAUUUUUUGGGUGGAUUACUGAGUUGAAGUGUAUUUCGUGCCCCCAAAAUAACAGCUUACAUGCAGACCAUAGGUGUCCAACCUUUUGGCUUAUCUACGCCUUACUGAGCCCAAGAGGAAUCAUCUUGGGCUGCAUAUAAAAUAAAAUAUGUAACAAAAAUUAUUUUUAUUAUUUUUUUUAGUAAAACAUUUUAAAAGGGAAACAAACACACAAGACUAGUGGGUUGGACACAUGAUCUAGGCCAUGAGAAGGUCCCACAUAUCUCUGGGCAGCAACUUUGGAUUAAAGGAACUCUAUUGAAAUGGCAAAUUCCUACUACUUCUCACAGUAGAGCAGGUAGAACUGUUAUUCUCUCCUGUUACUUCCUGAUGUUUGAACUCAGUCCCUCAUUCCUCUACCAUUGCUUCUCGGUGUCACCCAGGGCUAUACAUAUGGCAACUGCACACACAGUCCUACUUGCAGAUGGGGCUUAGGCUAAAUGCUAGGCUUUGUGGCAUUUCUGUGCUAAUCUCUGAAGGCUUUUGGAUACACCCCUGAGGCAGUGCACUUCUAGAACCCCUGCUUGGCCAGACAGAAGUUCGGCUUCCCUGGGGUUAAAUCCCAAGAAGAUUUCAGUGGUAGUUAAGUUGGAUGUAGGCAGGUGGAAGUGUACAGCACUGCAAAAUGUAACUCCAUUGCCUCUUGGUUUUACUAAUGCCUCAAAGGAGGGCUGGCUCAUUCUAAGUGCAGUGCAAUAUCUAAGUAGAAAAAGAGAUGUUUGGAAAAAUCAUUCAUUAUAUUUUUCAGAAUAAAGCAAUCACAUCUUCCUUAGCAGAGAAUGCAAAGAAAGCUGUAAAUAUCACAGCUGCUCACUGGCAACUAGGAAAAAAAAAGAGUCAAAUUCAAAGCUUGCCACUUCUAUUCACAGUGAAUGACUUAGGAGUCAAAAGAAGAACAGGGUGUGUACAGUCUGAAGAGAAUAUUGCUGGUAGAAUUCUAAGGAUGCCUCCUAAAACUGGCAAUUGCUCACCAUGUCAGCUGGAAUAAAGUUUGUCACAUUGUAUGUCCAGAUGCAAUAUGGUGAUAUAUGCAAUUUCAGUCACUCUUUCCAAAUUGUGGGCUUUAUCUGAAAUGCUCUCAUACCCCAAACUGUCUGCAUUUUCAUUAAAAGAAUGAAUGUUCCUGUCAUCAUCUUGGUAGGAACGCCAACAGGAAAUAAGCUACCUCUAAAUGAAAAGAUGCAUUUUAUUGUUUGCAAAGCUGGGGAAAUAUGAAUCAAACUUACAACUUGGCUGGCAGGUGGUUUGUUUGGAGUAUGGAAUUAGUGCCUUUGUAGGGGUCUGACAAAUAGCCUGGGGUCUCAGACAAUGCACUGGCAUCCUGGUGGCUGCAUGAUCUUACAGAGAGCAUUAACUUCUCUGUGCCUCAGUUUCUUCAUCAGUAAAACUGUGAUAAUCAUUUUCUGCUGGAGUUUCCAGCUAAUAGGCUUGUUAUGCCCUGCAAAGCACUCAGAGAUCUCCAUCUGGAACAAACUACAGAAGUGCAAGUAUUAUUGCUAUUAGAAGUCCAUUACAGCUCUGUUUUGCUUUGUUCGUACUGGCCCUUUGGUACGUGCAGCUAGACAGCUCCUAAUGUUAUCUUGAUGCACAAAGCACUUUUUGUGUGAGGUUUGACUCACACUAAAAUGCCAGUUAGAAUUUUGUCCUCGGGAACUCACUGGAGCUUGGCUUACAGAAUCUGAAAAUUAAAUCAACCAAAAUAGGUCAAACACAAAACUAUAUGUCCUUAUGUGUCCUCUUGUCCUCUUUAGCAGUAUAGCGCAUAGUUGUUGUUUUCUUAUCUGUAAAGUUUGGGCCUGUUUUGUUCCUCAGCCAGCUUUGCUACUGAUAUCUUGGUUACAUUUUGAAUACCUGCUCUUGAGAAUUUUCUGUUCCCAUUAAAUAUAGUUUAGAAGGACACGCUCAUCUGUUAGUGGUCCAGAAAUAACGUGCUGAAUGCACCAGCAGCUGAUGCGACUGAACGUGAUACAAAAGUGUAUCAUUCUGUUAGAGUUUGUUGGUAGGCAUCAUUAUGGAAAUGUUUUUGAGCCUUAAAAAAGGGAAUAGUGUAUCGGAAAUUGAAUCAAACGUUAACAGAAGCUGCAGUUUGUGGUUUACUUUUCCCUCGCAGCUAGUUCUUUAGGAAUUAUUCCUGUUCACAUAAUCCCUUAAGUUAAUGUAUUUAUUCCGUGCGUGCUUUAUAAUUUCUAUUCAUUCAUAUGUCAAGUAGCUGAAGGUGCUGCUUCAAUUAGUAUUUACUUCAGUGUUAUACUGUUUUGAAUUGGUUGUUUGUUACAGUCACAAUGCAGUGAAUAAACGUGUUAAUAUUUGAAGUGGGAAGGGAGGUAAAAUGGGAAACCGUCUGCUCCAGUCGCGGCCCAGCUUUCUGGUUACAACAUAUUAUAAUUUAUUUAAACCCAAUCAAUACUUAAUCUGGAGUUUAAACUCCGCUAAAGAUCUGUGGCAUAGCUAAAAGCAGCUGAUGCCAAAGAAAAAAAAUUUCUUCAGGCUGUGAUUCUGAUGAAUUUAUAAUGCGCUCUAAGGGUGAUGCAUUGACCUAAAUUCACAGAAGCGCCGCAAUUCGUAUUUAUUAUUGUGAAAGGUGUCCUACCAACACUUUUCUUCUUCUGAAUGUUGAGAGCCUGUGUGAGAAAGAUGGGUGGCUGCAGAGGAAGGAGCUGCACGCACAGCCCGGGAGGGUGGGAUGGGACUGAGCGCGGCCCUGUGCCGCACACCGGGCGGUGAGUCACUGUGACCCCGAGAUUCAAGGCAGGAAUUAAUUCAGCACUGCAAAAAUCUGGCAAAUGUUUGAAGCCAGCAGUGAAAGCAGACUUCCUGAGAGGUGUGUGUUUGUGGUGACAAUUUGGAUUUAUUUUGCUGGCAAUGCAAAAGACAUUGUUACAGCAGGAAGAAGACAGUUGUGUUAAAAACUGCUUCUCUUUUUUAGUUCUCCCCCCCCCAGCCUUUCUGGGGAAAUAGAUUGUGAUCUCUGCGGGGUUUGGUUUUCUCUGUACAGCUCUUUAAACUCCCCCAGGCACAGCCAUCUCAGGGCAGGGCCCACGGGCAGCUCCUACCAGCACUGCAGGGAUGUGCACACACCAUUCUCUUGUAAGGUCUGGGCAACCUCAUAUUUCCCAGCACAUUUUGGCAAGCUUUUACUCAGAGUGGUCCAACAGCUUUUCAUAGUAAGUGAAUGACUUCCCAGUGACCUGAGCCCUCUUCCAAGCCUCCUUUGUCACCCUGACAGCUUGCAGUCAUGCUUUUCUGAUCUUGUGCAAAGCUAUAUGUUUUACCAGAUCUGUAACUGCAGGAGACUUGGUUGUUCUGAAAAUUAACUGGAUGAAUAAGGGAAAUGUAUAGUGGAUAAAGGCUGACAAUCAUCCCCACUUCUUUUAUGAUACAAUGCCCUGCCCUCAUGAGAAGCGAGAAGAGCUCAAUUCUCCCUCCUAAUUGAUAGGUGCAUACUUGUCAGAUGUGGUUUCCCCAGGCAGUCUGUAAGGCAGGACUCACCCCCACACACCGUUCAUCCCCAGUCCCUCACCUGUGUGCUUCUGGGGCAUCACAUCAGACACUCUCCCAGCAUGUGUCUUCUUGCUCUAUUUUGUGCCCGCCUCUGCCCAUAUUGCUGCUGUAGUGGUUUAUGCCAGAAUAAAUAUGGGCUAGCAUAAAUCCUCAGGCUUGGAAGGCAUUAGCCUGCCUUUACUGUAGCACAAUCGACAGCUGUACCUGGCACCACGACCUCAUUGCACCCCAGCGUGGCAGCAUCCAGAGCCUUGAUGCAUUGGAGGAGCAGAGCCACAUGCUUGCUGAGGUUUGUUCCUCUGGGCUGGCCCUGAGGAUGAGAACAGCAUGCAAACACAGCUUCUCAGCAGGAGCAACUAUUAGUUUCAGCUUUAACCUUUACUUAAAAAUAUGAAGCUGCUGAGCAAAAAUGCAAAGGCUUAGUGUUCAAACUCACGCCUAACUCAGAGAGCUGGGUUCCUAGAACCAACUGUGAAUUUCAGUUUAGCAGCAAGGAAGUUUAUGUUCAACUUCAGUUUUUCUUCCAGCUAUAAUGCUCAAAGGGAGUACUUCAGUAUCUGUCUUGCUUUUUGUUAGGGAGAUGAAACAAAACAAAACACCAUUUGUCAUAAUUCUUUGGGAUUGCUAUUAUGGCCAGGAGAAAAGAGGGCUUCUGCUAGUUCAUGUACGAGUCAAAAGAAAGGCAUAUUCCUUUCCCCACAGGAUCCCAAGCGGAAGAGUUGGUGGAUAGGUAAGAUAAAAAUGGGUAUAGAUUGUGAGAGACAGGCUGACAAAAAAAAGUGCGUGCAGUUUUUUCACUAUUCUAGAGCAGUAAUUGUACUUUGCUUACAUACCUAAGCAUGUUUAGGUGGCAAUUUUCUUUCCUUGUAACAGAAGAGGUGACUUUCAAGAGAAUAAUCUGAAGGAGGUUGUGGUGGAUGACUGUUUUCCUUGUUGUUGGUUUUUUUUGUUUGUUUGUUUUGUUUUGUUUCUUUAAAUUCAGAAUGUUUUUUACCAGGUCAACAGGCCAAUUUCUCUCCAUUGUUCACAAAGCUAUUGGGUAUUUUUUUUUUCCUUCCCACUGUGCCUUGAAAAAACAACUUCACUUAAGUUCAUGUGUGAAACCUUUUGCACAACAGAAGUGGUUUCUUGUGGCCAGUAAGAAUAAAUGUUCUGAGCAUUCCAGGAAGCAUAUAAAUAGACUGAUACUCUUCCUAAGGUUAUAGAGCAUUAUUUCUCCCUUUUUUUCUUUAUUUCUCCUCCUGUCCUACUCCCCUACUUUCAGUUACGCUCUCUCCAUCUAGGCAAAGACCAAACAAAGUGCAGUGUUUGAAAAUCCUGACCAUCAUUUUCCAUUUUACUUGGGUUUUUCUCAGUUACAUGUUCUGAAUAGAAAUUGUUCGAGUAAAUGCAGCACAGUAAAUUAUCUUAAAUUACUUCUUAUAGUCCAGACUAGUAUUAUAACAUGAAAAUUGUUACUUGGAGUCUCCCACGCCCCUGGCUGCUGCAGACCUGUGUCUCCAGGCUGGGGAGAAAUGGAUCACAGUACUUAUCCAGCAGAGCCUGCAGGCCAAUCCACAAUGUGGAAAGUGGAGUUCGCAUAAAGGAGGUCUCUUAUCCUUUCCUCUCAAUCCUGCUAGAUAUAGCAAAGCUGUCACAAUGGUCAAAUAUAAUUAAAAUGGUGAUCUGCCACUGAAGGGUAGGCCAAUGUCUAUGCAGAAACCAGAUGAGGAAUUAUUCAAGCCAAAAACAUUAAAUCUCAGCUCAUCCGUGGUUACCAUAAAACAGCCAUCCUGUUCCUUUGAUCUAUGAUGAAUUUGAAUGUGUGUUAAUAAGACAUAUAUGUUGGGCAUCAACAUCAUCUUCUGUUGAACGAAGGUAAACACUGCAUUCGUCUCUGUAAAAUAUACUUCAGUAGUUGGGAAGAAAGUGGAGAUUCAUUAUUUUUGCAGUUGUAGAAGACAUUUAGCAGCUGUGUUUAUACUGGCAGACAAUUUGGAUAUUAGGUGGCAGGACAGAGAACUGCAGAUGCACGAUAUCGUGCAGACAUUGUGCACUUACAGCACAUUUCCAGGGAAACAUGUUAUUUUAUAUUUCCCUUGGUGUCAUUAAUCACGUUUCAUGAUGUAUCUCACUAUUUCAACUCAUUCCCCUAGAUUCAUUCAUUUUUUGGCCUGUUUAUUUAAUAGUUAUUGAGCUCCAUUUCAACAAAUUCCAUCUUAACCACAGAUAAUAAAGUUCCUUUUGCUUCAGGGGAGAAAAUUAAGAUGGCCCUGUACUGAUUUCAGGGACUACCUGUAAUAGUCAGCAUGUCUGCUGCAUCAGAAAGAUACUUUGUUUGCCUUUGGUCAGAAAAAUGUUCAUGCUGUUCUUUGCAACUUAAAAAUUAAACUCAUUUCCUGAAAGUAAAAAUAUGAUUCUUAUCUUGAACUAUAAAGGAAAACAGCUGCACUUUAUUCUGUUCUCGAAGUUCUCUAAUCUCUCUGGAGGCUUUGUUUUGGUUUCACAGGUGAAUCCCUUAAACUGCAGCAGCAAUGAUGGCUCCUCCUUGGCAGAAACAUGCUGAGAAGCAGUUGGGAAUCCCCUGCUCUGGAGCUGCAGCCUGAGGAACCUCAGCGUGUAAGAAGCCUCUCUGAGGCACUCACAUGGUGAUGGUUAUACAUCUCCUGCUUACCCCAACUUAGUGAAAGCUGUCUUCAAGCAAAUAAGACUGGCAGCAAGGCUGGGAGUGCAAUCACCUGCUGGCAUAAUCCCUGGACUCUUCUUAAAGGAAUUCUAAAAAGGGAAACUCAGGAAUGCCUACCUGACUGUCCAGAGAACUGCCAUCCAGAGGAGCAUCCUACAGCAGCACAAGCAUUUCAUCUUCUGGAUUUGUGGAGACAUGUGGGAUUUGUUGAUGCUGAAGGCAGGAGGAAGUCAAGGGAGAAAAAAAGAAUUCUGGGAGGAAACUUGGUAAAACUGAAGAUCCAAAGUGAAACAUCAGGAAACAUCACCAAAAUGAAGCCCGUUGGAUGUUUGCAGCUGUUUCUUUAGUCCUGAUUAACAGGGAUUUUCUGAGAAGAGCUGCACAAGUGCAGUCCCCAUUCAACGUACAGAUUUUCCAGAGUGAUCUCCAAGUUGUAAUGGACAACCUCUUUCCUGCCAGCAGAGCCCAGAGAGGAAUAAACCAAGACCACCAGCUAAGUCAUUGUGUAAUGUGCUGUGGAUAUGAGCAUCGAAUGCCCUCAGUGGCAAUGACUCAGGACCAAAUCAUCCUUUUGCGGGAAUUACCUACGAAGGAAACUGGACGCUCCAUGGCAUCUGUGUCAUCCUUCCCUCCAGAUGGUGCCUCCAAAUCUGUUCUGAAAUGGCAUGUGCAAAGCAAACCCAGAGUGCCUAUCAUUCAGCCCUCUGAUGGCAACUCUCAGACAACUCGGGGACAGACAGAACACAAAACCAGAAAUAAGGACUUGCAACCGUGGCUGAAGAUGCCCAGAGAGUCGUGUAUGUAACAGCCAGCGAGAGGCAGAUGACAGCAACAAGAAAUUUCACAGCUCCAAAGAGUGAACGUACCACGGAUUAGUACCGGAGACAGAAAUACUUCUAUGAAAACCAUGAAGGAAGUUCCGGAAUCUAGAGUAACUCUCGGAUGCACAGAACUGGAGACUUAAAAGAUCCUCAGUUCCCCCAGGACCUGAGCAUGUAGAAACGUGGGGGCCUGGCUGUCCUUCUGGUCUGCACGCGUGGCCUCAAGCCCGAAUCCCUACAACAGCAUCUCCACUGGCAGCAAAGCGCUUCUUUGCCCUUUACCACUGAACUGCUGUGGCUUGAUUGUGUGAAACUGAGUUUCAGGAUGCAAGAUACUGUUCAGAUAGUUCUGCAAUACAUUCUUCAGACCCAGCAGCUUUGGCAGGCCCGUGGAUGAUGGAAUAACCAGAUCUCUGCGGCCACCCCUGAAAAACAGAUUCUUUCUUCUGGAUUCCCUGGGAUUCUCUCAGCAGCCAGCCUUGUUUACAGAAGUCAGCGCGGACAGUAACAGCCCUUCACCAAUGAGCCACAGUGGACCCUUUGGGGAAGGCUCCUCACGGUGCUCUGUCAUCUGCUGACAAAGUGGUGCCAGGACCAGAACUUCACAAUGAACUCUGCGGAGAAAAAUCCACAGCAGAUGAAGGAAUCUCGAAGUCAGUGACAGGUAGACUCAGGCUUAAAGUGAGAGGAUCCCCCACGUCACUGGUUUCAACUAGAGGAUACGUCUGUGCUAUGAGAAUACUCAGUAUGAGAAACGUGCUGCGAAACAGAGGCAGCCAGUUGGAGCAGUGCUUCAGACUAAGCUGAGGUCAGUUUUAGAAUCACAGAACACUUCAGGCUGGACAGGAACUCUUGAUGUCACCUCAAUCCACGCCCUGCUCAAAGAAGGUCUCACUACGUCAGAUCGCUCAAGGCUGCAGCCAGUCAAGUUGAACCCUCAAAUGGGGAGCCUCUGCUGAAUGCUGGUUACUGCAAGGUUCAGGCACCCAAGUAUGUGCUUAUGUGAGUGGGAGUACAACGUACCUACGCCUACCUACGUGUGCUUACCUACAGACAUUUUUAUUUUCAAUGUUCUGAUUCCAGCGGCCUUUUCAAGAGACAAAAGAAAGUUAAAAAUAAAAUUAGAGCCUAAAAACAAUGGAUUUGCAGUAGCCAGCACAAUGCCAGUCUGCACUGUUGCGAAAGACCUGUGCAUAAACAUUCAUAGGGAUGAAUUCAGAGGUGAUGGGCGACACAGACUGAGGAAAAGGAGCCCAGAGAGUAGGUAAUAAUAAAGAAAAUCAUGAAAAGAGGAAACAGAGAAGGAAAAGCAGCUAAGUGAAAGGUAUGUAACACCUAAUCUAAAGCACAUUUCUCUCUCCUUCAGCGCACACAAAACUUUUACCGGUUCCUUUUUAUGGUUAUUGAAUGCCUACAUUACCUGAAAGUGGAAUUUAUUGAGCUGAGUGUUAAACUCUAAGUUUUACAAAUAAGCUUCCGUACAAAAAUAUUUAUUAUCUGUAACGUACAUCAUCAGCUCUUACACUCCCACUGCGUUCAUCCAUUGUCUCCCAAUACAGUUACCGUGAACGUAUGUCAGAAUAUACGUCAGCCUCAGAAAUACACACUUGUACUGCAGUGACUAUUUUCUAUUCCUUAUUUCUUUGCCUCUAUUUUAAACAACGGAUGUGUACGUUUGCUUAGAACCUAGCUUCUGAAACAGAAGGACAAAAUUACUGGUUCUGACAGCUGUGAAAACAUUUCCAUAAUACAGAAAAUCUAAAUGCCUCUUCAUUCAAUCACUUUCUCAAUGAAAACAUCCCAGGAUUAAAGAAAUCCAGGGAAAGAGAAAAGAUUAACCUAGAAAAGGCAAAUAAGCAAGUGAAUAAAGCUGGGUUUAUUGCUUCCUGCUUCAACAAUGUCCAACAAGAUCUGGGCCAUGGUGCCACAGCUUUCACACGCGUGUGCAGUGGACACAGCUCCCCUGCAUGCAAACAAUGCACCAGCUUGCGUGAAGUGAAUUGGGGCCAGCACAAUUGUUUGAAGGAGGAGGGAUGCACAGUCACUGGAAGCACAGAAGCGCCUUUUCUCUCUGGUUUCAUGCAGCUGACAUACCGAGCAGAGGAGCCAGAGAGAACAUGUAAUGGAAAUAAAUGACUUUGCAGACCCAACGGAAGGAGGUGGGAGCGAAAAAGCAUCCUCACCCCCUGCCCGGCGGCUGCGUAAAUCUGUCCCUGCCAGGAGAGCUCCGGGAGGUGCUCAGCGGCCGCCUCCCCAGGAGUCAGUGAGAGUUCAGGUGCUUACUGUGUCAUCAGGCUUGACCUUCACAUGCGACACUGCCAGGACGUUUGUUUUCCCACAGCAGUGAUUGCUUCAGUCAAUUAUUAUUGCCCAUCGUAGAGUGCAAACACAUAAGGGCUUGAUUUACAGUGCAAAAAUAUACAUCCUGAAUUUACUUCCUCUUUUGUUUUUGGACUGUCAUAGCAUCUCCACCUUAAAGAGAUGACAGCAAAUUACUUCAUAGGUAAAUAUAUGUAUGUAUAGGGAAGGAUAAAUAGCAGUCAUUCGGGUCAUUGUGAGAUGAACGUUCAGUAUAGCUUCAGAUCGGCUGUGUCAGACGUGACAAUAUAUUUUAAGCUUUUUGUUUUAAAAUUUUCAUUUUUUCUGCUUUUCUUUGAAGAAAUCAUCAUUCGCAAAUUUUGCAAGUUGGCAAUCUAACCUCUAAAUCCAUUCUAACGCAGAUUUAAGAUUGUGCAUUCAGUUCCUUAAGCAAUGUUUAGGUAUUACCAAUAUACUGAAAGAUAGAUGAGACAGCCUCAUGGUAAUACAGCUUUUAACCUUUCCUCUCCUCUACCAUGACGGGGGAGAAUUACAGUAAAUGAUGGUUACCUUGUCUGCAGUAUGGACAAUUGAUUUGACCUCACUGCAUCUGAUGCUCUAAUGGACUUUGUGGCUGAAUCCCUGGAGAUAUAAAAUAUGUCCAAGUGAAUUGGGGCAGGUUAAAGAACGGACCUGCUUUUCAUGGCUGGCUCAAGCUAUAAUAGAUCUCCCGGUUGUUCUGAGAAGAAGAUUAAAAAUGAUCAAUAUCCAAAUCAUUAAAAAAAAAAAGCGGUGGCUUCUGUAAAUCUACCAUAGGUGGGUUUUUUUCCUGCUAAACGCCGGAGGGGGGUGUCUGGGUUGAUAACGUGAGUUUCCAUAACAAAUGUUUACUUCUGUUUACUCUCUAGUAACAUGUUCCUUUUUAUAUUAAGACUCAGACACACAGAUGGCGUGAUUCAGCACUGCUUUCCUGAAGUCAUGCUUGUUUACACCAUGAAGAGUCAGGCCUUAGGUUUAUUUAAUAUAGAUAAAAUAACAAUACUAUAAUAUUUCCUGAAGCAGAAAAUAAAAUCAAGGACAGAUUUCAGAGAAUGAUGGCAACUGCGAUAACUGUGAACAUCCUCACAGUUCUGCUAGCCACAGUGUCUAAGACAAAAAUAAAGGUUUAAUUUAGUGAGGAAAAAAGAAAAAAAAGAUUUUCCUUGGCUGCUCUGAGUCCUUCAUUUGGCAAAGUGCAAUUGAACAUCUUGUUUAUCCUUUCCCACCCUCUCACGAACAUCUCUGCUCUUUUCUCACCAGCACACAACUGAGCUCAAGGUGAGUGUAAGUCUGUCCAGCCCCUGGAGGUGCCAGGAGAAAAGCUUUCACAGCCCACAGCUGGGAGCUCACCCACAGACCUUCCUCUCUACAUACAGCAGCAAUGGGGCAGGCAACUUCAGUGGGCUUAUACGUAUGCACAUGCUUAGCUUCCUGUAAAACCCAUGCAUUAAGGAGACAGAUGCACAGCUGUUCCAUCUGAGGCAUGCAUGUAUUGGUUUCUGCACUUAUUCAGUAAACUUGAAAUGCAGAGGAGCCCAAAUCUCUGUUCUGAACAGUUUGAGGUUGUUUGGAUCUGACAUCUCUGUGCGUUCACUGACAGAAAUAAGCUAAUUAUGAACCUGAGUUGGAAGAGGGAUGCCCUUUUUCUGAGUUUUGAGAAGUGUCUGGGCAGAGUAAUUGGACUGCCCUAUCUCAACUGCGUUACAGCAAUCGAGCAAAUGCGAAAAGUCUUCCUUAGAAAGGAAGAAAUAUGUGUUUUUAAGUGCUAGGACAAUUCCACGUAACAUCACGGUUUGCAUCUAUACCCACAGUACGCAGAGAUUCAUGCAGAUGUCCAACAAAUUGAAAAGGCUUCAAAUAUAUUUUAUCUAGUUGUAUGUUUAACAGUAUUUACCUUUUGCCUUUCACAGGUUGCUUUAAAAUCUGACUAUGUAAUAACAUCCUCUGAAUGAUUUAAUUUAAGCUAACGUGCUAUCCCUUUAUGUAAAAAGUAAAGGUAUUUUGAAAGCCCUUGCUGAAUACUCUGAGGUUGCCUCUACUGUGUGGCUAGCACUGGGCUGAAUGCCUAGCAUCCGUGCGUAGAAGAGGGAACAACUGCUGCCCCUCCGAUCUGGCUAUUCUUGUAUCUGGAAACAUUGUCAGGUGCUACAAGCAUCACGCCAUCUGAAAGGCCAAAGUUGAGUACUACGUUAUUGGAGUAGAUGACACCUUAUUCUUAUUCUUCAACAAUUCUAACAACUUAGAGUCCCUCACUGUCCCUUUAUGAACACAGAUGUCAUUCUGAGGGGGGGGACAGCCAAAAUGACAAGAAGGUGACCUGUCGGUGAACUCAGGAGCAGGUGAGGCCUGUCAGCUUCUAAUUUGAAACUGGUGUCAGUCCUGAGGAAUGGCUGGUAUAAUCACAUUUGUAACUGAUAUCCUAUAAACGCUGCAAACAUUCACAGUGCGCCUGUUAUGAGUAAUAUGAAAUUAACAAUUCGUGUUUAUGACACAAGACACCGACCGAAUCAAGCAGGUCUCCGUAACUGGAUCAGCUCCGUCUGUCUGCCAGAGCAGCGCAUCGAACUGCUUCAACCAAAGCCAAAUUACUGUGUGCUUAUGUUACAAUAGGCAUUGUAUUUAUUUUGAAGACAAACUUUUGUAACUAGGCGUAAAGUGAGGACCUCAGAACCAGCUUCUCGCUCAAGUUAUUGCAUAUAAAACUUCUCUUGCUCGAGCCCAGCCAUUAAGAUGUUCGUGACUUUUAAGUUAAGAGUUUGGGACCUAACAAAUCACGUGUUGUAUCUCACAUUUUCUGAAUAACUGAAGGGAAGGCUCUGUGUAAAUCUUCUCUCUCAGACACAUAAAUUACCAGCUGCGUGAAUACUGCCAUUAAGACAAGCAGACAAGUGCGAGGGGUGGGGACAGGGCAGGAUGCCCCAAAGAGGUGGAGUUACAGAGAAAACAAGGCAUUUGCUUACUGAGUAAUUUAUGCUUCAUCUGCCUUCACUGUAGCUCAGUAAGAAUGAACACCAUGAGGCAGUCUGUCAGGCGCUCUCACUUCACUACCGCCAAGGCAUUUUUCUGCAAAUUAGGUAUUUGCUUCCUAUUUCUAGUCACUUCCACCUGGAUUUUUUAUUAGGAAAAGUCAAAAUCAUAGUAUCUGAAGCUAAGAUUUGAAUUGAAGUUACACUAAAAGAUAAACUGUUGCUCAAGUACAUUUCACAUUUGAAGACAGCAAAAUCUCACAAUCCUUUGCACAAUUAUUUCCAGUCCAAACUGACAGAAGCUCUAAAGUUCGGGUCCUUUCCUGCCUGCACUGCUGCUGAGCCUGGUGCAUAGAUUAGAAGUUCCUUUCCAAUAACAAGCAAAAUAAAAGAAGAACCAUACGAAGAAUCUAUUGCAAUUGUUACACUGGAAUUUAGUUAGCAGAGCUACAAAAACACAAGUCCAAAUCCCAAGUAGCUAGUGGAGAUUUCUGAACAGUUCUGUACACCUUCACGUAGACAAUCCAGUGGAGCUAACAACCUACUGUAGCACUCUUUUGUGAUAGGCAAAUACCAUUCAUUUCCAUUUUCCACAGAAGAACUGCACUCCACAGAGCUUCAGCAAUGUAAACAAGGCCAGGUACAGCAUUACAGCUGUGGUUCAGGCAACAACAUUCCUCGUCCUCUGACACAACACUUACACAUCAUACUUGUAACACUACCUAGUUCAAGUUGGUGGUCAAUACCACCUAAUUAGCAGAGUAAAAGUGCAAUUUUGAAACCAACUUACAAAACUGCUACAACCAACCUACAAAACUCCAUCAUACCAAAGAAAAAUUAUGGCUCUAAAUUUCACAAUCACUCUCUGCCAACCAAAAACUCACCUUUAAGAAGAGUCAGGGCUGAAAGCUGAAAGUUGAGGCAGUCAUCUCUCAACGUGUAGAACUCCUCACGUUGCUAUGAAGGUACAGCACGGUUGUUCAGUGUUUGGAUAAAGUACUGCAUGGGAACUGUUGAAUCACAGCCUGAACCACCAAUUGAUCACCUGAGGCAAGGACUGAAUCAGCUGUGGGAGCACAGGUGAAAGCAAUUCAGCUAUGUGACCAGAAGCUGUGUGACCACAUUCCACCCCUCCCAGACCCCAUUUAAGGGCUGACUAACACUGGGGAAGAAUCUCCUUGUGGUGAUCCCUCCUUUGUGGAGCUUUUCAGUGUGAGCCUAAAUCUUUGCAUACAGAGUUAAUGGAGACGCUCCAAACAGAGGAUUAAGUGGAAAGCAGAGUUUUGCAGCAACCUGAGAUAUUAAAAGGAAAACCAACUGACAGAGCAGAAAAAAGACAGCCAACUUACGGCAACGCGGCAGUAUUUUCCACCAAAAAGUCGCCGUUAAAUCCCCCGCAAUUACUCACAGGAGUCCAUCCCUGGCUUCCUCAUACUUUCAUUUGAAUGGCAUUUGGAUUCUGCCUGUCAUUGUGAAGUAGACUGGAAAAGAGUACUGUCAACACAGAUGAAGACUCAGUGUGAAUAAAAUUAAAAUAAUUAAGUUCUGUUCAACAUCAGUUUGGCCCUGCUUGAGUUGCCAGGACUCCGUACACAAUUUGGGAUGGGGGUUGGGUUUUUUUUUCGUUGACUGUGGUUUCCUUGGUUGGAAUGCUAUGUCUAAGACCACCAUCCAGGAGAAUGAAGGUCUUCCACCCAAGGGCAACAUCUGUUAUCUACACAUUUGGAUAUUGUGUCCAAAACAGGAGAUAUCAGCUUUGGAGGAACGCGAUUUCAGAGUAUGAAGCAGUUCCAAAGACCACUUGGACUUGAUCUCCAAAUGCCUGAGAUAGAUACAAGCCUUGAAAGUGACCCUCGACACCCUGGGAUCUUCUGUGUAAAAGGCUGAAGCACCCAGGGGGUGUAUCCUUGACUGUGCUGCUGAGUCAAUUAAUUACAGUGCUCGAAAUAAAAUGAAGCUUUGGUUAAGGUAGGAAAAGAGAAAAUAGUACUAAGGUUAACAGUUUGUGAACGUAUAUGUUAAAUAUAUGCAUGUCCCUAUACAGCAGGAAAAGAAAAGGAGUUGGAGGAGAGCAAUUCUAUAUCCUAGUGCCUGUUAUCUGGGCAGAGCAAGGAACUGAGGAGACAUACCCAGGAGCAGCCCACGGCUCUGCAGCGUUGCUCACGCCGAUACCCUACUGCAGCCCAGCAGGGUGCCAAGGAGCUGCUGUGGGAACUGGCUGGAGCAACAACAGAGCCCAGCCAGCUCCCUCCCAUUGACAGCAAGCUCAGCAAAGCAUUGAAGCUGGCUGAACUUACACCUUGGGAUGGUUCAGUGUCACCUGCUCAGAAACAAGGAGCAGCUUUGCUAGACCGUCCCAGCAGCACAGAAGUGCCAUCUGGACCUGGGAGAAGUGUGAAUCUUGUCUCAACUACAGAUGAUCCUAGCACUGUGCAAGCAAACACCCUUAAGGAAAGAGUGCAAUAUGAAUUUGGGUGUAACCAAGCUAUGGUGAGGUCCCCUCCAAAGGAGCAAGAUUAAAUAUGGCUGUAUGAGCCAGCACUAAUCUACUGAGAAGUGGGCAUGCUGGACCAUAGGCAGCCAGCAGUUCGCAGCACAUUGGGGUGCUCCCAUGGCCUGCAGAGAAGAGGGCUACAUGAGACAAGUGUCCCCCUCCAGAGCUUCAAAUGGACCUGAAGCUCCAUGCUUCUCCCCGUGGGAACAAGCUCAAUUUUGUGCUUUGGUCUAAAGAGAGAUCAAGAAGCACUACCAGAACCAGAGCCAGAAAGGAAUGGGUAAUGGGGUGAGUAAGAAGCCUACCAAACCUGUUCAGACUGCUCCUGGGAAGAACAACAGUGACAGCAGAUGGCAGUGCCCAGGAAAUGACUGGGGCUGGUGGGCAGCACUAUUCAGCACUUCCAGCACUAAUUUGAUAGCUGGUGGGCAGUGGUGAAGGGAAAGCAAUGGGGUCAGGUGGGAUGAGGCCACUCUGGAUAGACACUGUUCCUAUCUCUCAGACCUAAAUGCCCCUCCUUACAGGGGCAGGUGCUCAACAAUUCGCUCCAGCUCCAGUGCAGAGCAGAGGGAGCUGUUCUGAAAAUGUAAAACAAAGAAGAAAAAUAACGUUUGGCUAGAAGAAGGACUUUGCAAAAUUUCAUAAGCACAUCAUGGGGAUUUAUUUAAAUACUCUUUCAAAACUUGCAUAACAAGGAAGUAGAUGCAGAUAAUUCUUAUGCGUCUCACCAACACUACAAACAAGACCCAUUUUUCAAUCACAGUAUUGAAAAUGUUUCCUCCCUUGAGUUACACGUAGUCAAGAUUGUCACAUGGGGAUUUUUAAAAAAAUCCCUUAAGCUGGGAAUAUUUAAGAUAACUUUCAGAAGAUCUCUGUCUACAUUUCACUGUUUUAAGUCUCCUUUCAUAAUUAUGUUUAAUGUAACCUCUGCAAAACAAAUAAAAUCACUCAUUUCCAACAGACAUUCACCCACUGCAAUGAGCUCAAAGAAAGACAGACAAUAGCAGAGGAUAAGCGGCUGAGAGUGGACAGCCACGUCCUCCAGCCAAGCAAACCCCAGAAAGUAAGACAGUGUUUUUCAUCGGUCCUUUACAGUUCAGCAUUUAGAGCUGUCACAUUUCUCACCUCACAGAAAGUCCCACUGAAGGACAUCUAGCAGAGCUCUCUCCCUCUCACUAGCAGCCCUCUGCUAUGCACACGAGCCACAGCUUAAUGCAGAUACAUACAUUUUUACCAGCUCUUCCUUAAAGUAUCUGCUUUUUACUGGCUCAGCUUUUUUUGACGCUGUUAUACCUUUGAAAUGAAACUCGAGAGUCCACCUUUCAUUCAAAUAGGGAUGUAAAUUCCCUAGGAAACUGGUUCAUAUUCUUUAGGAAUGUCUGCAUUUUCACAAGAGUCAAAGAACCCAAAUGUCUACAUUAUAGGUCUAAGUUAUGUGCAAUUUAACAAGGGUUAGAGUAACAACAGAAACAAUUCAGAAAAGUAUACGUUUGUAAUUUAAUUAUUCAAUUAUUCCCUUCUAAAGUUCUUAAUAAAUAUUUAAAUAUUGCACACAGCAAGAUAAGUGAAACAUCAACAUUGCAACAUGGCACCGAUUCAGGAUGCACCAUUGGAUAUUGGACUCAUCAGGCCUUUAGGACACAAGCUAGUCAGUGAACAUCAAGUAUAUUUUUUGAUGAACUAUUUGCAAAUUAGAUGUAUUACAAAUGUUUGCUCAUUUAAUUAGAAUAUAAAAGAUGAUUUCUUUGACUGGACCUUGCUUCUGACCCUUCUUGCCUCUGUGUGGUUUGUAUGGUUCUUGGCUAAUGAGAUAUAGGAUAUGUACUAAACAUUUACACAUUAAAGGCAUCCUUCAUUCAGCAUGAAGGUGUUGAUACAUCAAGGAUACCUCAAACAUGCUGAGAUUCCAGCAACUUGUCAGACAAAUUAGCACCUUACCAAUCGGGGGUAAAAUUGAGUUUCACAUUUCUCCCUGGUGGGAAGAAAAAAAUCAAAAAUCACUGUAGUUUAAUACUUUCUUUGUAAAGAUGAACACAAAAGGCCUUAUCACCUCUGUAGUGUAAAUUAUAGCCCUCACUGACUAUCUGAUUUUUAAUUCAUUGGUUUUAAAUGAUCCUAGGCAGUUUACAGCAAAUCUAUUGUGUCAUUCCUCUCUUAGACUUAAUAGAAGAAAAAUGUCUGCCCUAUCUCUUUUACAAAUAUUUAAACUUUACAUCUGCAUGCAUAUAUAUAUAUAUAUAUCUCAAAAUGGACGGAAAUCAAAGUCUUAAAUUUGUAUGUUCCAUUAACAUUAACCACCAGCAGCUUUUAACUCAAACUCUAAGGGGUAUGUGGAAUUGAAGGACUGUACAGCAAUGAAACUAUGAUGGUUUAAUUUUUUUCAGCUGACUGGUGCUGAAAAUUAAUGCAUAAAGAUUAGGGUUAGGAUUAGUGCAUGAAGAUGCAGAUUGCUGGCACCCCGCGUGAGACAUUCAGAGCACCAGAAAGACCCACUGCCUGGUAAUGCAGUCUAAUAAAGUAUCCCCAUAGAUUGAGAGUAAAGGUAAAGUCAGCUAUAGGUGCUACAGACACUACAGCAGGACCCAGUGACCAUCCGGUGCCCUUAAAUCACCAAGCAUUACACAGCAUGGACUGAGGAAACCGAGUUGACUACCUACUCAAGAUUUGUGAAGAGAAGGUUACUACCAUAAACCUCAAAGAUGGGAAUUAUUUAUGCAUCCAAUAGCUUUCUGCAAUUUAUGUAGCUGAAACAUUUACCUCACCGUGAACGCAUCACAAAAACACCCAUUUUCCAAAACUGUGAGGUCAGCAAAUGAAAUCAACCUGUAACUUGUGCAGGAGGAGGCCUGAGCUUUCUGCAGAGAUCGGGUGUGUACCCACAAGUCAUUCCUUCCUUUCCCCUUGCCAACUUCCUCAUUCUCACUAGUCUCAAAUUCAGAUUUUUUUUUUUUUUAAAUAUAGGAAAGAAAUAAGCAGAGGAUCUUCCCAGUUGCAACUGCUUGAGACUCUUUCAAUAAUUUAGUAAUUAUCAUCAUGCUAAUGGAUUUUGCCAUCAGCCUCUCUCCCUUUAUCAAUAAACCCUAGUAUCUAAACAGAACACACAUCCCUCCCUGUUCCACAGGCAGGGUGACUGUGAUCCCACAUCCUCACUUCCCCUCAAAUGUCCUGUAUGCAAUCACCUUUGUUCAGACAUUUCAAGAACAUGCACUUCAGCAUAUUAAAUCUAUAACAGAAAAACAGAAACUGUGUUACCAGAAGCAGCUCCUUAAUUCUAGGGAUGCUAAUUCCUUUCUGCAGAUGUAUUUUUCAGAAUUCUCGAUACAACAAAGUGAGAAGGGAUGUUUGUGCCCAGCAGCCACAACAGGGUAGACAAGGGACACAGCUGCUGAAGCAGACAAGGAAUUGAGCGAUGACUGCCUGGGCAUUACACUGUAAACCAGAUUCUUAUACCAAGAACUUCAUUUAGAAAUCUGGAGAAAACUUAAGAUUAAUUUUGUUCAUACUACAUAUUUGCAUGGAACUUUGGAGCAAGGCUCCUGCUCAGCAACAUACACUACGUAUAUUAAAACCCUUGCACACUUUUUCGCCUUAAGGUUAAAAAUAUCUGAGAGAGAAAGACAUCACAUUUUUAACUGCUUAAGAGAGAAAGAAAUAUUGGCUCCCAUAUAUAGAGUGACAUGAUUUAUAAAUAUGUGGUUAAAAAGAACUGAUUUACAGACAGGGUCGUGAAUCUGUAGCUAAGUGUUUUAGCAUUUAACUAAAACAAUAACAGCCAGCACUAAUUGCAUGUGGUCUGUUGCACAGCUACCGGAAUCAAAUAGUAAAGAGGAUCACAGUUCCUUAUUAGUUAGGACCACCUAGGGUGAUGGAAAGCCUCAAUGAUCAAAGAGAAGACAUUUUUAUGCUGCAAAUGUUGAUAUACUCUUGAGCUUUCCACCACAGUUUAAGAUCCGGUAUGAACACUUGACAACACACUAACAUAACAUAGUGAACAGGACAACACACGUGAUAUUAGACUACACAAGUUUUGCUUGCUGGAAAAAGAAGUGAAUAAGAUGCAGUAUUAUUUUCUUGUUCCCUACUGUAUCGCAGAAUAGUUCUCUAUUAUUACCAGGGUGAUUUAUUUUCACCUACUUGAAUCAAAACUAAACUAGCUUUUGUUCCUAACACCGUAUCAUGAGAUCCCAUCACUGCUAUCCAGUGAUCACUGGACAGAUGAUGUAAAACAACAGCCUUCAUUUAUCUGUAGAAAUGCAAAGCAAUCCAGUGUGAUUACUUACCGUUUGUAACUUGGCCAUCCAGGAGCACGGAGUUGUUUCUGUCUUGGCUGAAUAGCUGAAAUGUUUGGAAGAGAAUAAUUUAAUGUAUGUGCGGUAUUCCAAGUGACUAUAAUUACUAAGAGAUAUUUUCAUUUUUAAAUUUAUAACUGCACUUUCUUUGUUUAUUGUUGUUGUUCAGUCUCCUGCCUUCAAUAGAUCACGACUUCUGAUGCUGUAAUUCAUUGCAGUCUACUCUGUGUUAUAGAGAAAAACCUUAUGGUUCAAGUGAAAGAGGUUGAAAAGAAAUCAGCGUUAAAAAACAUGAACAUGAAUUUUAAAUUCUAUUUUUACAAAAUAUCAUCUAUCAUUAAAAGCUAUCAUUAAAUCAUAGCAGGAACCUAAGAGAGCUUUCAUUUAAUGUAACAAAGAGACGUAAGGAGACAGACAGAUAGCACAGUGCUUCCAAUAAGAGCAAAUUUUACUGAACAAAGAGUAUAGCAGCUGACCUUGUGGCUGUAAUGGAGGUGUGGGAAGAAGGAAGAUUGCUUAACUGGCAGAAGAAACACUGAUUUCAUCCUUGUGUAAUUAUCCCACACACACUGAGAAUGGUUGCAUACCUUCUGCUCUGCUUUGAUGCAAUUAUUAGCGUGUGCUUAUGGUCCAUAUAUAUAUAUAUGCACUUCAGACACUGAGCUACGCUCCAUUCAAAGCAGUUUAGCAUUCAGCUCUGAAAGCUCUUCAGAACUCUUGACUUGAACACCUCUAAAGCCUUCAAAAUCAACUCUGCACCAACCCCAUGUUUAAGGUUCAGAUCUCAUUAGUUUUGGCUAGGAAUGCUCUCUAAUUACUAAGAGAGUUUUCUCAAGUUGCACUUUAGAAAUUCAUCUUUUUUUGUACACUGUAAAGUAUUCAUAAAAAGCUAAAAACUGUGGGAAAAUUAGCAUUGAUGGAUGUUUUCUUACCCUCCACCAGGAAAUGAUGUACUUGAAACUCAUUACAGAUCUUCAUAGAAACUCUGCUGAAUGUGCCUUGGGCUUUGUGCUGAUCAGCACACACUGAGCUUACUGCAUAAUUCAUCUCUCUUGUGUCACAUUUAAUGUAUAACAUGCAUUUCCUGUUAAUUAUGAAAAUAAAGAUGCGUUCUUUCUUUUAGAAACAUAAUCAUUAAAUUACUACAGAAAUUAAG
ensembl:lncRNA